GAAUGAAGGAAGCAUGGUAAUGUGCACAAAAAUUUAUUUGGGUCUCUAGGCCUAUCUUCUCUGAUACCUUUCGGCUUUGAUUUGGGGGCAUGGUUCUGCAGCAAAACA